rnacentral:lncRNA from 1 species
CGAGGUGGAGGAGGUUCUACAUAUACUGGCUCAUCUUAAAAAGGUUGUAUAGGUCCUGUGACUCGUUAUUUUUUAGAGACUCUCUCUUUGAGUUCAUCCUCCCACUGUUGCUAAGAAAAUAGUAUGAUUACUCACAAUCAUAUUGUGAACUACAGAAAAGGGAAAGUGAUAUCCCAAACUCUUUUGGGAUACCCUAUAAAUGAGCUCUCACAGACCUAUCUUCUAGCCUAUCCACCAUAUCAUAUCUCAUAUGGUGUGGUGAAACCAACUUUAGAGGGAAUCUAGUUUAAAUUUUAAAAAUUAAAUCUUAUUUCUGAAGAAACAAUAGUUAAAUUAGUGAUGUUCAUGAUGGACCGAACCAUAUCUCAUG